GAAUCCUACGGGGGGCAGCAGUGGGGAAUAUUGCACAAUGGGGGAAACCCUGAUGCAGCAACGCCGCGUGAGUGAAGAAGUAUUUCGGUAUGUAAAGCUCUAUCAGCAGGGAAGAAGAAAGACGGUACCUGACUAAGAAGCCCCGGCUAACUACGUGCCAGCAGCCGCGGUAAUACGUAGGGGGCAAGCGUUAUCCGGAUUUACUGGGUGUAAAGGGAGCGUAGACGGCAAUGCAAGCCAGAUGUGAAAGCCCGGGGCUCAACCCCGGGACUGCAUUUGGAACUGUGUAGCUGGAGUGUCGGAGA
rnacentral:rRNA from 1 species